rnacentral:lncRNA from 1 species
GAAAAGCUGUUCGAAUGAGAUUUAGUAUGAGUUAAUGGUUAUAGUUAGUAAGACAAUGGAAUCUAUUGUCAGGUAUUGUAAGGAAUGUAUUUGAAGGUCACGUACCUGGGGAAGUAAACUUUGAUGUAUGUAAAUUAAGUUCGAAUUAUAUUAUUAUUUAGUAUUAUUCAGCUUAAAGAAAUGGUAUCGUGGAGAACCGAGUUCGGGUUUC